UUAGAGUUUGAUCAUGGCUCAGAUUGAACGCUGGCGGCAGGCUUAACACAUGCAAGUCGAGCGGCAGCACGGGAAGCUUGCUUCCUGGUGGCGAGCGGCGGACGGGUGAGUAAUGCAUAGGAAUCUGCCCGGUAGUGGGGGAUAACCUGGGGAAACCCAGGCUAAUACCGCAUACGUCCUACGGGAGAAAGCAGGGGCUCUUCGGACCUUGCGCUAUCGGAUGAGCCUAUGUCGGAUUAGCUGGUUGGUGAGGUAAUGGCUCACCAAGGCGACGAUCCGUAGCUGGUCUGAGAGGAUGAUCAGCCACAUCGGGACUGAGACACGGCCCGAACUCCUACGGGAGGCAGCAGUGGGGAAUAUUGGACAAUGGGCGCAAGCCUGAUCCAGCCAUGCCGCGUGUGUGAAGAAGGCCUUAGGGUUGUAAAGCACUUUCAGUGGGGAAGAAAGCCUUCCGGCUAAUACCCGGGAGGAAGGACAUCACCCACAGAAGAAGCACCGGCUAACUCCGUGCCAGCAGCCGCGGUAAUACGGAGGGUGCGAGCGUUAAUCGGAAUUACUGGGCGUAAAGCGCGCGUAGGUGGCUUGAUAAGCCGGUUGUGAAAGCCCUGGGCUCAACCUGGGAACGGCAUCCGGAACUGUCAGGCUAGAGUGCAGGAGAGGAAGGUAGAAUUCCCGGUGUAGCGGUGAAAUGCGUAGAGAUCGGGAGGAAUACCAGUGGCGAAGGCGGCCUUCUGGACUGACACUGACACUGAGGUGCGAAAGCGUGGGUAGCAAACAGGAUUAGAUACCCUGGUAGUCCACGCCGUAAACGAUGUCGACUAGCCGUUGGGUCCUUCGCGGACUUUGUGGCGCAGUUAACGCGAUAAGUCGACCGCCUGGGGAGUACGGCCGCAAGGUUAAAACUCAAAUGAAUUGACGGGGGCCCGCACAAGCGGUGGAGCAUGUGGUUUAAUUCGAUGCAACGCGAAGAACCUUACCUACCCUUGACAUCCUGCGAACCCUUCGGAGACGAAGGGGUGCCUUCGGGAACGCAGAGACAGGUGCUGCAUGGCUGUCGUCAGCUCGUGUUGUGAAAUGUUGGGUUAAGUCCCGUAACGAGCGCAACCCUUGUCCUUAUUUGCCAGCGAGUAAUGUCGGGAACUCUAAGGAGACUGCCGGUGACAAACCGGAGGAAGGUGGGGACGACGUCAAGUCAUCAUGGCCCUUACGGGUAGGGCUACACACGUGCUACAAUGGUCGGUACAAAGGGUUGCGAACUUGCGAAAGUGAGCUAAUCCCAGAAAGCUGAUCUCAGUCCGGAUCGGAGUCUGCAACUCGACUCCGUGAAGUCGGAAUCGCUAGUAAUCGUGAAUCAGAAUGUCACGGUGAAUACGUUCCCGGGCCUUGUACACACCGCCCGUCACACCAUGGGAGUGGACUGCACCAGAAGUGGUUAGCCUAACCUUCGGGAGGGCGAUCACCACGGUGUGGUUCAUGACUGGGGUGAAGUCGUAACAAGGUAACGGAA
rnacentral:rRNA from 1 species